rnacentral:rRNA from 1 species
GAACGAGAAAGGGUAGCAAUACCUGAGUAAAGUGGCGCACGGGUGAGUAACACGUGACUAACCUACCCUGGAGUGGGGGAUAACUGAGGGAAACCUUAGCUAAUACCGCAUAAUACCUACGGGUCAAAGGAGCAAUUCGCUUUGGGAGGGGGUCGCGGCCGAUUAGUUAGUUGGCGGGGUAAUGGCCCACCAAGACGAUGAUCGGUAUCCGGCCUGAGAGGGCGCACGGACACACUGGAACUGAAACACGGUCCAGACUCCUACGGGAGGCAGCAGUGGGGAAUUUUGCGCAAUGGGGGAAACCCUGACGCAGCAACGCCGCGUGGAGGAUGAAGUCCUUCGGGACGUAAACUCCUUUCGAUCGGGACGAUUAUGACGGUACCGGAAGAAGAAGCCCCGGCUAACUUCGUGCCAGCAGCCGCGGUAAUACGAGGGGGGCGAGCGUUGUUCGGAAUUAUUGGGCGUAAAGGGUGCGUAGGCGGUUUGGUAAGUCUGAUGUGAAAUCUAUGGGCUCAACUCAUAGUCUGCAUCGGAAACUGCCGGGCUUGAGUGUGGGAGAGGUGAGUGGAAUUUCCGGUGUAGCGGUGAAAUGCGUAGAUAUCGGAAGGAACACCUGUGGCGAAAGCGGCUCACUGGACCACAACUGACGCUGAUGCACGAAAGCUAGGGGAGCAAACAGGAUUAGAUACCCUGGUAGUCCUAGCCCUAAACGAUGACUGCUUGGUGUGACGGGUACC